rnacentral:lncRNA from 1 species
GCCUUUGCAACUGGCUGCCUGGCGCGAGUCCUGCCUUGGUUAAGGAAUGGAGGAUGGGGAAAUCAAAUGAGGGAUGUCUAAAAAUACAACUGCUUCCAAGAGAGAGAAUCAAGUUCUCUGCUCAUGAUGGAUAGAACCCAGCAUCAAAGACUUAGGGCCCCAGAUUGUGAGCGAUGCUGUGCCCUGCACCCAACCCAGGUCCUCGACCCCCGGCCCCUGGCCCUCAGGGCCGCGAGUCUCUUGCCCUUGCUUUGGUCUAGUCACAUGAGUGCAGCAGCUACGAGUCCGCCUCAAGUGAAGUGAAGGCAAUCCCCAACUCGCCUUUUCUGGGCAGCGCAGUCCUGGUAGCACGCCCAGGAGAACACCUGACUCAGAACACCGGCCAAGGGGCCUGGGCUCGGGGACAGGAGGGCUAGUGAAGGGCGCUCGGAGGCCGGGGAUUGACAGAAAUGCUCAAAAUGGAGGCACUCUAAGCAAACAAUAAUCGCUCACUUACCCAGGGAGACCGGGGCAGCUCGGGAGACACAAAGAACCAUGGAGAAACUUUUCAGCCCGAGCCGACGGCGGAGCGCAGGGACAGCGCCCCGGAGCCCCGGGAGCGAGAGCGGCUGGACAGCCCGGUGGGGACGAACCUGCGCCAGGGGCUCGCAGUCCCCUCAGGCGCGGUGGCGGAAGCCAUUUCCAAGAGUUUCCAAGAAGUGUCAGGUCCUCCGCAUCCCGCGCGCCGCCUGGAGCCCUUCUUCCCUCGGGCGCGCCUUCCCUGUUGCCACGGUCCCCUCCCGCUGCGCACACUGCCGACCCUGCGGCCGCGCGCUCUCCAGCCCUGCGCCUCUUUUGUGUGGCUGCGGCGCGCCGGGCUCCGCCGGGUGGAGUUGAGCCCGCGGCGGCUGCUCCGGGCGGCCGGACUGGCGGCUGUUGCUAAGAGACCGGAGCCAUGACACAGGGAAAUUGCGGCAGGAUGGCAGUAGGUACCCGGCCCGGCUUGGCUCUCAGGGGGGCACCCGCCCCCCGCCCCGCCCCCUCUACCCCCAGCCCCUCCCCCGCCUCCUCUCCAGCCUGCCGUCCGUCCCUUCGACAGCGACUUGUCCCCCUUCCCAAGAGGGGCACCAGGGGAGGCGACACCUGCACCGCGUGCUUGAACCAGGUCGGGGCGCGAUCGUGUAAGGCAAGGUUCUGAACGCAGCUGAAACGCCUUCAGCCUCAGCUGACAGCUUGGUUCUCUUUCCCCAACUACCUGUCUGAGCACCUAACCCAAGAGGAUCCAGAGAAACGCCAGCCCCUCCCAGGGAGUUCCCCAUCAGGAUCUGAGUGAUGCUGUCCCUGAAGACAGGGAUUAUUCUUCAGGUCUCUGGUCCCUCAGGCUCCCAUCCUCUCUGCUCUCCCUUUUUCUUAUUACAGUGCACACAGCCUCGCCCCCUACCCCACCUACACUUGAGAGUUUGCAGCGUGGAUGCCCCAAGAACACAGGAAACUACAGUUUUCCUAUUUAUUGUGUUAAAUACACAUAUGACCCCACGCGCAGAGGAGAGGAAUUAAGAAAGAUCCUACGUUAUAGCUGUUCCUGCAAAAGAUCUCUCAUCAGAACGGACUGUUCUGUUUAAAGGCUUACUCUAGGAGAAUGAAAACCACCAGGACGCACUACUUCGUUUCCUCAGCCAUGAAGGAAUGGAAGGAAGGACUUGGAGUGUCACAGCUGAACCCACAAGGGAGGACUGCCAGCCAACUUGGAGUCUAGAAGCUGUGCUCCUCAGCUUGGACUUCAGGGCUCCAUCAGCAGUUCUGGUUCCUUGACUUUCUGUUCCCAUCUCUACUGGCCUGUGGGGACACUAGGGUUGUGAUGGUUUCUAUAUGCUUGGUGGUCCGGGGAGUGGCAUGAUUAGAAGGUAUGGCCCUGUUGGAGUAGGAGUGACCCUGUGGGUGUGGGCUAUAAGACCCUUAUCCUAGCUGCCUGGAAGUCAGUAUUCUGCUAGUGACCUUCAGAUGAAGAUGUAGAACUCUCAGCUCCUUCAGCACCAUGCCUGCCUGGAUGCUGCAAUGCUCCCACCUUGAUGAUAAUGGACUGAACCUUUGAACCUGUAAGCCAGUCGCAAUUAAACGUUGUCCUUAUAAGAGUUGCCUUGGUCAUGGUGUCUGUUCACAGCAGUAAAAACAUAACUAAGACAGGGGUGUUAGGUACCUGUGCCUCUAAGUGAGGUAGGCUCUGAAUCAUACUCAAAUAGUGGUUUUAUCUGGGCUGAUCUUUUUACCUCAUUGGAAAGGUAGAGACUUUUUAAUGUUCCAUAUAUUUAAAGGAUAUAGCAAGUUGGGUCAGACUGGAUAAUUUCAUUCUCUCUCUGUUGCUGCAG